GAAAAGGUCCUGCAGCAGACUUUGUUCGUUCUGGAAAAAAGCAGUUGGAAAAGUUAUGUCUAGUUUUCGCUAGUACUACACCGAAGACCGCUACUUCUGCCAGUUGUCUCAGGAUUAUUUAUAAGACCUCGAAACAUCGGAAGGUUGGCGUUAGGUUUGCGGAUCAAGUAAAUCCGGGUGUCUUCCAGGAAUUAUAAAAGAACGAAUCCUCGACUGAUCCGGAAACCCCAACCGAACCAGGCACGGAACACGGGUUGUUGCUGAUUUUUUUUGUGAUUAAGUGUUGGA